CCUACGGGAGGCAGCAGUGAGGAAUAUUGGUCAAUGGACGAGAGUCUGAACCAGCCAAGUAGCGUGAAGGAUGACUGCCCUAUGGGUUGUAAACUUCUUUUAUAUGGGAAUAAAAUGUUCCACGUGUGGGAUUUUGUAUGUACCAUAUGAAUAAGGAUCGGCUAACUCCGUGCCAGCAGCCGCGGUAAUACGGAGGAUCCGAGCGUUAUCCGGAUUUAUUGGGUUUAAAGGGAGCGUAGGUGGAUUGUUAAGUCAGUUGUGAAAGUUUGCGGCUCAACCGUAAGAUUGCAGUUGAAACUGGCAGUCUUGAGUACAGUAGAGGUGGGCGGAAUUCGUGGUGUAGCGGUGAAAUGCUUAGAUAGCACGAAGAACUCCGAUUGCGAAGGCAGUUCACUGGACUGCAACUGACACUGAGGCUCGAAAGUGUGGGUAUCAAACAGGAUUAGAUACCCCGGUAGUC
rnacentral:rRNA from 1 species